UUAUUUAACAAAAAAAGAGGGGGAAUAGAUUAGGGCUAGUGCUCUUAUCCAUUUGGAAAAACAGAGAACGUAGAGUGCUAGUAUAUUCUAGUUCCUAAGGCUUCUCUUUCAUGUUUCUUCUUCUUUUCUACUAUAUUGUAAUCAUUAUUGAGAAGUUUUGGCUUGAAAAUAUUUUUUGGUUGUCAAGAGUCGAGCAUCAACAGUACCACUACGUGUUUUCCUUCCUUUAAUGGUAUCAUGAGAGAUUGAGGAUUUAUUUUAAUUAGGAUCAGGUAUGCGGAUAAGAAGACUUCCAUACUAGGCACUCAUCCCACAUUCUGCAAAGCCAUUGGGGAGCUUCUCUCUCAUCUGGAGAUAAUAGAGGUUUAAUACUCUUUAGUCGUAUUUGUAAUUAUAGUUUGGAUAUGUUAGGUGUUUCAUCCCAACUAGACUCCACUGUACGAAUACAAAUUCUAUUAAAGGCUUCGUAGACAGUGUUAAAUUGUC